rnacentral:rRNA from 1 species
AACGAACGCUGGCGGCAGGCCUAACACAUGCAAGUCGAGCGAGGACUUCGGUUCUAGCGGCGGACGGGUGAGUAACGCGUGGGAAUGUGCCCUUCUCUACGGAAUAGCCCUGGGAAACUGGGAGUAAUACCGUAUACGCCCUAUUGGGGAAAGAUUUAUCGGAGAAGGAUCAGCCCGCGUUGGAUUAGGUAGUUGGUGGGGUAAUGGCCUACCAAGCCGACGAUCCAUAGCUGGUUUGAGAGGAUGAUCAGCCACACUGGGACUGAGACACGGCCCAGACUCCUACGGGAGGCAGCAGUGGGGAAUCUUAGACAAUGGGGGCAACCCUGAUCUAGCCAGGCCGCGUGAGUGAUGAAGGCCUUAGGGUUGUAAAGCUCUUUCAGCUGGGAAGAUAAGGACGGUACCAGCAGAAGAAGCCCCGGCUAACUCCGU